rnacentral:rRNA from 1 species
CAGCCGCCAACGGGAAUACAGAGGGUGCGAGCGUUAAUCGGAUUUACUGGGCGUAAAGCGUGCGUAGGCGGCUUUUUAAGUCGGAUGUGAAAUCCCUGAGCUUAACUUAGGAAUUGCAUUCGAUACUGGGAAGCUAGAGUAUGGGAGAGGAUGGUAGAAUUCCAGGUGUAGCGGUGAAAUGCGUAGAGAUCUGGAGGAAUACCGAUGGCGAAGGCAGCCAUCUGGCCUAAUACUGACGCUGAGGUACGAAAGCAUGGGGAGCAAACAGGAUUAGAUACCCCCGUAGUCCCUGUCUCUUAUA